UAGCAGACUGUUUUUCAAGACCAUUUUAGUUUGUUCCUCAAAGCUUUGAUGGUGUUAUUUCUGUGCUGUGAAAUUAUACAGCAAAUAAAAAUUAUUUGUAAUUUCUCUAUUUGGAUAAUGUAAUCUUGUAAGGAACUCUCUGUAUCGUUAUCUGAAAAAUGAAAAUCCAUCUUUUAGCUACUCAAAAUAUAAGCAGCAAGAGUCCGAGCUUUAACCAUACUUACAUCAGUCUGCCGAUAUUUACUUUGGACUUCCUCCACAAGAUGUUCGCGAACUUGCUUAUCAACAUGUCGAGAUAUCAAUGAUUGAGAUAAAUUCUCCAACUGAAUGGAAGGCAAAUGAGAUGGCUGGACUUGAUUGGUUUAAAUGCUAUCUAAAGAGAUACUCAACGUUGUCCAUAAGAAGACCCGAAGCAAAUUCUUUAGCCAGAACUUCUUCCUUCAACAGGCACAAUGCACAGCUGUUUUUCAACAACCUCGAAGAUACUAUUCAGCGUAAGAACAUCUCGUAUGAUUCCAUCUGGAAUAUGGAUGAAACUGGGGUAACGACAGUACCUCCAUGUAAAAAAAUAGUUGGAAGAAAAGGUCAGAAAAAAGUUGGAGCUGUUGUCUCUAUCGAAAGAGGAGUUUUAGUUACUGUUGCUAUGGCAGUUUCUGCGUUUGGAUACUCCAUUCCACCCUUUCACCGUUAAAAAGGGUACCACUUAUUUGGGGUUGUCAACCCCGAAAAAUGUGAAGUUGUACGAAAUUUUGACUUUUUUCGAAAAUUUCGGGGUUUUAACUACUAUUCACCUUUUUUGAAUUUUAAAGCAAAUGUUUUGGACAAAAAUCCCCAAAAUUUCUAGCCUCAAGAGGGAUAACACAUUUUACAAGAAACGACGUAGGUAUAUUAUUCAUAAAAGUACAUGGCGAUGAAAAUCCAAUGGCUUGUUUUACUUUCUGCUUCACGGUUUCAUUGAUCAAGGAAGUUGCUACUUUCAUGACAUAUUGCACAUUAACUUGAGUUAAUUUUUGUUCCGUUAGCAUGUUUAGAACAAAAUCUGCACCAAGGUAUGUAAAUCAACAUCUGGUUUUGCUAAUUCAACAUGUGUAGAAGCCCGUUCACUGUCUAAAAAAUUAAAACUUCUGCUUAAUAAACGGUUAACUUAACUUA